AGUAAAAGUUUGGUAUCCAAUAAAAUGUCAUAGUACAGUAUGAAAAGUCAAGCCAAAUAUGACAAAAGUCCUACAAUGUUUUAUAGGACAUUAGGACAUUACAAUCUAAUUAAAACAAGUCAAAGUAUAGUCUGCCAUAAUAUGUAAUUGUAAAGUGUGUCAUUAAAGGUCCUGUUAAUGUCAUAACAAAAAGUCCUGUUAUUAUCAUCUGCCAUCAAAUGUCCCGGUGUUGUGGGCCAUAAAAAGUGCAAUGGUAUAAAAUCAUAAAAUAAGUCACAGUUAAAUAUGUCGUAAAGAAUGUCACUGAAAAGUCAUAGUAGAGUAUUUUAUGAGAAAACAACAACAACAAGCCCUGGCCUGUAUGAGGAACAUGAGACUGGCCUUCCUUAUUUUAUGGUUAGUUAUUUGUUUUGCCAGUGCAGAAUAUGUGCUGUGUGAAGAUAUCUCUGACAUGUUACCGCAGGUAUCUUUAGUUUGGUAUGCAGUCAUGGGAAAAUGCAAAAGGUGUGAGACACAGAGCUCUGAGAAAGGAAGUGGUUAUGAUUGUUUGUGCAGCACACCAGCUAGAAGAGUUCAAGUAAAGCAACACAUAAACUACUGCAGGGCAACCGGACAGAGACCGUCAUGUUCAUCUCCGUGAUUCUGGGGCUGCUGGUCUGCACUGAGGCACGAGGGAUCAGUGCUGGGACUGUCUUUGUGCUGAAGGGAGAGGAUGUGCUUCUGAAUGUCACCAAAGCUGUUGUUCUUCAGGAUGUUUCUAGUUUUUCAUGGACAUUUAAUUAAAAAAAAAAAGUAUUAACAUUUAACCCUGGCAACAAUCCAAUAGUAUUUCUUGAUUAUGCUGGAAGGAUUGAGUUUUCUGUGAACAAUUUCU